UGCAGUCGAACGAAGGCUCUAGCUUGCUAGAUGUCCUUAGUGGCGAACGGGAGAGUAACGCGUGGGAAUCUGCCAUAGAGUGGGGAACAACUUUUGGAAACGAAAGCUAAUACCGCAUACGCCCUCCGGGGGAAAGGCUUCGGCCGCUCUUUGAUGAUCCCGCGUCUGAUUAGCUUGUUGGUAAGGUAAUGGCUUACCAAGGCGACGAUCAGUAGCUGGUCUGAGAGGAUGAUCAGCCACACUGGGACUGAGACACGGCCCAGACUCCUACGGGAGGCAGCAGUGGGGAAUAUUGGACAAUGGGGGAAACCCUGAUCCAGCAAUGCCGCGUGAGUGAAGAAGGCCUUAGGGUUGUAAAACUCUUUCGCCGGUGAAGAUGAUGACUGUAGCCGGUAAAGAAGCCCCGGCUAACUCCGUGCCAGCAGCCGCGGUAAUACGGAGGGGGCUAGCGUUGUUCGGAUUUACUGGGCGUAAAGCGCACGUAGGCGGCAUAUUAAGUUAGAGGUGAAAGGCCUGGGCUCAACCUAGGAACUGCCUUUAAUACUGGUAUGCUUGAGUUCGGAAGAGGGUAGUGGAAUUCCAAGUGUAGAGGUGAAAUUCGUAGAUAUUUGGAA
rnacentral:rRNA from 1 species